UACGGAGGAGGCAAGCGUUGUCCGGAAUCAUUGGGCGUAAAGCGCGUGUAGGCGGCUUGGUAAGUCCGCUCUGAAAGCCCGGGGCUCAACCCCGGGAGGCGGGUGGAUACUGUCAAGCUCGAGUCCGGAAGAGGCGAGUGGAAUUCCUGGUGUAGCGGUGAAAUGCGCAGAUAUCAGGAGGAACACCAAUGGCGAAGGCAGCUCGCUGGGACGUGACUGACGCUGAGACGCGAAAGCGUGGGGAGAAACAG
rnacentral:rRNA from 1 species